rnacentral:rRNA from 1 species
GGAACGCUGGCGGCAGGCCUAACACAUGACAAGUCGAACGGGAUCUUCGGAUCUAGUGGCGGACGGGUUAGUAAUCGGAACGUACCCUUUUCUACGGAAUAGCCUCGGGAAACUGAGAGUAAUACCGUAUACGCCCUUCGGGGGAAAGAUUUAUCGGAGAAGGAUCGGCCCGCGUAAGAUUAGAUAGUUGGUGGGGUAAUGGCCUACCAAGUCUACGAUCUUUAGCUGGUUUGAGAGGAUGAUCAGCAACACUGGGACUGAGACACGGCCCAGACUCCUACGGGAGGCAGCAGUGGGGAAUCUUAGACAAUGGGGGAAACCCUGAUCUAGCCAUGCCGCGUGAGUGACGAAGGCCUUAGGGUCGUAAAGCUCUUUCGCUGGGGAAGAUAAUGACUGUACCCAGUAAAGAAACCCCGGCUAACUCCGUGCCAGCAGCCGCGGUAAUACGGAGGGGGUUAGCGUUGUUCGGAAUUACUGGGCGUAAAGCGCGCGUAGGCGGACUGGAAAGUUGGGAGGUGAACAUCCCUGUGGGCUCAACCCCGGAAACGGCCUCCCAAAACUAUCAGUCUAGAGUUCAGAGAAGACGGUGAGUGGAAAUUCCGAGUUGUAGAGGGUGAAAAUUCCGUAGCAUUUUUCGAGAAGGAAACCACACAAGUGGGCCGAAAAGCGGGAUCACUGGGCCUCCGGAUACUUGACGCUGAACGUGCCGACAAGACGUUGGGGGAGCAACACAGGGAUUAAUUACCCUUGGCCUAGUCCCACCGGCCGGCAAAACGAAUAAAUGCCAGUUCGCAAAAAGGGGUUGGCCCCUUUUGGUUGACACAACCUAACGGGAUUAAAUUCCGUGGGA